rnacentral:rRNA from 1 species
UUCUUCACAAUACGAGGANNAAGAACUAACAAGGAUUCCCCUAGUNNCUGCGAGUGAAGCGGGAAAAGCUCAAAUUUAAAAUCUGGUAGUCUUUGGCUGCCCGAGUUGUAAUCUAGAGAAGUGUUACCCGUGCUGGACCGUGUACAAGUCUCCUGGAAUGGAGCGUCAUAGAGGGUGAGAAUCCCGUCUUUGACACGGACUCCCAGUGCUUUUGUGGUGCGCUCUCAACGAGUCGAGUUGUUUGGGAAUGCAGCUCAAAAUGGGUGGUGAAUUCCAUCUAAAGCUAAAUAUUGGCGAGAGACCGAUAGCGAACAAGUACCGUGAGGGAAAGAUGAAAAGAACUUUGGAAAGAGAGUUAAACAGUACGUGAAAUUGUUGAAAGGGAAACGCUUGAAGUCAGUCGCGUUGUCCAGAAAUCAACCUUGGUUCUCCUGGGUGUACUUUCUGGUUAACGGGCCAGCAUCAGUUUUGACCGGUGGAGAAAGUCCAAGGGAAUGUGGCAUCUUCGGAUGUGUUAUAGCCCUUGGUCGUAUGCAUCGGUUGGGACUGAGGAAUUCAGCACGCCGCAAGGCCGGGGUUCGCCCACGUUCGUGCUUAGGAUGCUGGCAUAAUGGCUUUAAUCGACCCGUCUUGAAACACGGACCAAGGAGUCUAACAUGCUUGCGAGUGUUUGGGUGGAAAACCCGAGCGCGGAAUGAAAGUGAAAGUCAGGAUCUCUGUCGCGGAGAGCACUGACGCCCAGACCAGAAGUUUACGGACGGUUCUGCGGUAAAGCACGUAUGUUGGGACCCGAAAGAUGGUGAACUAUGCCUGAAUAGGGUGAAGCCAGAGGAAACUCUGGUGGAGGCUCGUAGCGAUUCUGACGUGCAAAUCGAUCGUCGAAUUUGNGUAUAGGGGCGAAAGACUAAUCGAANCAUCUUAGAUNNUCGCGGU